GCACUGUGACGGCGUGCCUUUUGCAUAAUGAGCCUACGAGUUGCCGUUACUGGCAAGGUUAAGUCUUUAAGGGACGGAGCCGGAGCGAAAGCGAGUCUUAAUAGGGCGCCAUAGUCAGUAGUGGCAGACGCGAAACCGUGUGAUCUACCCAUGGGCAGGGUGAAGCUGUGGUAACACAUAGUGGAGGCCCGAACCCGUUGACGUUGAAAAGUCUUGGGAUGACCUGUGGGUAGGGGUGAAAGGCCAAUCAAACUCGGAAAUAGCU
rnacentral:rRNA from 1 species